rnacentral:lncRNA from 1 species
AGCACCACGCGAGCGUGGCGGGCCAAGUUAAAUAUGAUGAACCAUUUAUCGUGUUUGAAUAUAAUAAAUGAUUCCCCCUGUCCUUUUCACAUUCACUGUAUUUACUGUAUUAAAUGUUAUAUAAAUUAAAUUGAACGCGGUAAAUCAUUCACCAUGUCCAAAAUUUAAACUCUGGGCCGCCAGCCACGCUCAUGUGGCGCUUGCACGACGGAAAUAAGAUCAAUCUUAUAAAUAUAAAUUUUAUAAGACUAUUUGUGAUUUUUUUUUU